rnacentral:tRNA from 1 species
GCGGGUGUAGCACAGUGGUAGUGCUCUAGCCUUCCAAGCUAGCCACGUGGGUUCGAUUCCCAUCGCCCGCUCCA